GUAGGGAGAGUGAAAGCAUUCUCUGCAGGGGGUGUAAUCCAGCUCAUUUAAUCAAUGUAGCUUUACUCCGAUUUCUUACCUUUAGAGUUUAAGGAACUAAAAAGCAAGACCCUCUGGUGAUUCUUCCACUGUGCCUUCUUUCUGGCCUCUUGGAUUCAGCUGGGGCAUUUGUCGAUUGAUUUUAUUUAAGGCACUGUUCUUGACUUGCUUCUUUUGCUAACAUCCCUCUGUUUUCAAUCUUCACCGAACAUCCUUUAUGUCUUACUAAGGAAUUCAGCAUUUCCUGCCUAAACCAUUGUAAAAGUCAUAUUUGUGGAUAUUUUGUGAUAUGAGAAUAUCCAUACAAUUUACCUUCCCUGGUAAGGUCAAAAUUCUCUUCUUAAGAGUUAAUCAUAGGUGAGCAAUCCCCAAAAGGUAAUCACCCAAAAUUUAAAAAUAAAGCAAGAGAAUAUAAAGCCAAAUAAGAUAUCUCUGAUAUUAUUUUCCAACUGUGUACAGGAUCUUAUUGUUGGGCAUUAAGGUCCUUCUAAGCUUGCCCUAACUUAUCUUUCUUAGAUAUUUACGUGGAUAAUAUCCUCUAUGUUCUAGCCAUGCACUAGCUCUAAACUUUCCUCAAAAUAUUAUGUUAGUUUCUCUGCUGGGAGAAAAUUCAGGGAGGCUGAAGUGCAGACAUUCAGUUAGUUAGACAACUGUAGCUCAGUCACUGUCUGGCUGAGCUUCCCACUCUUGGCAGCUGACUUAAUGUUUCUUCACUCUUUACAGAUGGAUAAAAAUUGCAAAUUGUAAGUGUUUAUAUAUGGGUUAAAUGAGAUAAUAUAAUCAGAUAUUUAAACAUAGUGUUUAUUCAAUAAAAAAAACAAGUGUAGUAAUUACCUUAUGAAACUUAUACACACAAAUCCCUCUUCCUGGAGACAUGGGUAAAUCUCAGCUCUAACAUCUUGGGCUUAAGUUUCAGCUUCAGUAUCAUCUCCCCUUUAAAUUAAAUUUCAUUCCUUUAUUCCAAUGAGGAUUUUAACACAGAAUAUUUAUAUUUUACCACAAUUAGAAAAGGACAUUUUAUAGUUCCUACUUAAGAGUGACUCUUUCAAUGGCAUGAAUAAUCUAUUUAGAUUCAUAUUUUCAUAAUGCCUGGCACAAUGUGAAGUCUCAAUAAAUUGAAUUAUCAGGAACUGAUAUUAAUUUGGCAGAUGGUCUAGGAGAAUUUUAAAAGGUGCACAGCACCCUUUUAAACACAGCCUGAGAGAUGCUUGCACUUUUAGAAUCCCUAUGCCUUCCUAGUGUCCCCUGGGACCUCCCCCUGCAGUAGCUUUUGUCUGACCACUGGGCUACCCCACUCAUGGCUCAGCCUCCUCCUUCCAGCAUUUCCCUCUGGACUCCUCUUGGAAGAAACCUCCUGAUGAUUAGCAGCAUGAAGAGCAUAACCGAUAACUGCAGGGAUACAGUUCAGCUGAGGAGGAAAGUGGGCCAAGAUGGAGUGUCCUAUCUAUACCACCCAUCACACAGAACAUUGAAAUGCAUCUAUAUUAGUGGUUGGAGUGGAAUGGCGUGAUCUUGGCUCUACUGCAAUCUCUGCCUCCCGUUUUCGAGUGGUUCUCCUGCCUCAGCCUCCCGAGUAGCUGGGAUUACAGGCAUGUGCCACACGUGUGUUGUUUUAAGCCACUGUAUCUGUGGUGAUUUGUUCUCCAGCAAUAGAAAAGCAACACAAUCUUCCUGCAACCUCUACUGCACUACCUACUGUAAAUUCUGGAGGAAUAUCACCAGUAUCUAUAAAAGUGAAAUAUGCACUGUGAAUUAGUAUUUUUGCAAAAAUCAGUGUAACAUAUAUGUCUAAAGUUUGCAUAAAUCUCAAAUACUUAAACAAUGAGACUUGAGUUGUAAUCAAUGAUAAUUUGGUACAAAAUAUUGCAAUCUAGGUAACAUUUAUUUUCAAACUUGAUGUUUUAUAUGUAUUUUAUUUCCUUAGCAGUAACCUAUCCGGUUUCAACUAUCUUAAAUGUGUUAUGUGGUUUCUACUGCUUCACAAUUCAACUCAUAAUAUCCUAAUUCAAGUAGAGAAUAACAAAAUCAGCACUACAUAUUCUUUUGAAAUUCCUGAGCAAAUUUAGAUGACAGGUGUAGAAAUUGCAUGACUAAUUCAGAGGAUAUGAGAUUGAAAAGCCGUAUACUAGCUGGCACAUAUGAUAUUUCCAUCUCAUUCAAUUCAGAGAGCGUAGCCCUCAGAAUCACCUUUUAUUAGCAAAACAUUUGAGGACUGAUAUAAAUUUGAAUAAGUGGCAAAGCAAUUUGUCAUAGAUCAAAAUGCCUUUCCUUCUUUGCUACUACAAGCAUUUAAAGCCUUCUUGCAUGUUUACGUUCAUUAAUUUCACUCCAUGGGCAUACUGUAGCAUGAUAAAGCACUGGAAAACAAAAUACUGCAUUGAUAAGUACUUUAAAAUGCUUAUAAGCUUCAAAUUGAAUUAUUUGUCUAAAUAAGAUUAUCUGAUUAUAAAAGGAAAUAAAUAUUCAUUGUGGUUAAUGUGGCAAUUACAGAUAAACAAAAUAAAACAUCAGGAGUACUUCCAGAAUUCAGUUUUAAACAUUCUUAGUAAUAUAGAAUGUAUCUGCAAAACAUUUGAAAAUAAGUAAUUGUUAGGUUAAAAAUAAAGACAUUUGUACUAAAAACAAUUCAAAAAUAAAAUUAAGAAAUCAUCUUAUUUACAAUGAUAUCAAAACAAAGAAUAUACUUAAAAAUAAGCUUAAUCAAAGAGGUGAAAGAUUUGUAUAAUGAAAACUACUAAACUUUAAUAAAAGAAAUUAAUGGAAAGAUAGCUUGUGUUUGUGAAUUGGGAGAUUUAAUAUCGUUAACAUGUUCAUACUAGGCAAAGUGAUCUACAGAUUCAAUGCAAUCCCUAUCAAAAUUCAAAUGGCAUUCUGCUAUGUUCUGAAUGCCUCUGCACCUUCAAAAUGCGUAUGUUGAAAUUCUGCCUACAAAGUCUAUGGUAUUAUGAGGUGAGGUUUUUGAGGUAAUUAGUCUUGAGAACAGAGCCCUCUUAAUUGGGAUUAGUGCUGUUAUAGAGGAGACCCAAGAGAGAUACGUACUCCUUUCUGCCAUGUAAGGUUAGAGAGAGAAGGUGUCUGUCUAUGAGGAAAUGUGCUGUCAGUAGACACCAAAUCUGCCAGCACCUAUUUGACUUCCAGCCUCCAGAACUGUGAGAAAUAAUUUCUACUUUUUAUGACACCCAGCCUAUGUUCCUUUGUUAUAGUAGCCAGAAUAAACAAAAACACAAUGUUUACAACAAUUAAAAUAACCCUAACAUUUAUAUGAUACCACAAAAGACCCCAAAUAGGGAAAACAGUCUUGAGAAAGAAGAACAAAGUUGGAGGCCUAACACUUCCUGAUUGUAAAUUAUAGUGUAAUGCUACAGUGACCAAAAGAGUGUGUUCAUGGCAUAAAAGUAGACAUACAGACAAACAGAACAGAAUAGAAAUUUCAGAUAUAAAUCCAUGCAUAUACACUAAAGCGAUCUUCAAAAAGGGUGCAAAAACACACAAUGGGGAGAGGUAGUCUCUUCAACAAAUGGUACUGGGAAAGCUGGUGUUGUGUUUUCUCCUAAUUUCUUCAUGAGGUCUCUCACUGGAGAACUGCUGUGAACCCUAGCCCAGAGAGGGCUACAGGGAUUUGGUUCUGGAUGUUAAUAGUGUGCCCAUCCUAGGCACUUCUUUAUCCUGGUGAGUGACCUAAUGCCUUUGUGUUCAACCCAUGAUCUAGUAAGUCUCUGAGAGAAAAGUUGUUUAUACUAUCAGACAGCACUCUGGCUCUUGCCUGCUCUGUGUCCAGCUUAUUCCUACCAAGAUAAUCAAUCUCUAGGAAAGCCCUGGCCAGGAAGAGAGUUAGGUUCGGGCGUAUGGGUCAGGUGAGACACAAAGGAGACCUCGCAGGUCAAGACACAAAAACCACAGAAGCAAUUUUAAUAUUUAGAGAUUCCGGUGAGAAGAAGGCAGCACACUUUGUGGGGCCAACUGUCUCAAGGGUGGCCGAAACCUGCUUCUGGAAUGAGAAACUCCAACUUAUAUUCAAAAUUGAUGCUGAGUCAACACUUAAUUAUAGGAAUUCACUACAACUGGAUAAGCACAUGCAAAAAACAAAACAAAACAACAACAACCAAAAAAACCCACCAAAACUAUAACUGUCUUACAACAUGUAUAAAACCAAACUCAAAACUGAUGAAAAAUUUAAACAUAAGACUUAAAACUGCAAAACUCUUGAAAGAAAACAUACAGAGAAAGCUUCGUAACACUGGACUUGGCAAUUAUUUCUUAGAUAUGACAAUAAAACCACAAAUGACAAAAGAAAAAUUAGACAAGCAGAAAAAAGCUUCUCCAUAGCAAAGGAAACAAUCAACAGAGUAAAAAGGCAGCCUACAGAAUGAAGGAAAUACCUGCAAACCAUACAUACCAUAAUGAUGAUCCUUAUACAUGGUUUGAAAAUAUAUAUAUAUGGAACUCCUACAACUCAACAGCAAAAAUCACAAAUCAACCAAUUUAAAAAUGGGCAAGAGACUUGAAUAGACAUUUCUCCAAAGAAGACAUUUAAAUGGCCAACAGGUAUUUAAAAAAAUGUUCAAUAUCACUGAUCAUCAGGGAAAUGCAAAUCAAAACCAUACUAUUAGGAUGACAAUUAGCAAAGAGACAGAAGUGUUGGUGAGCAUGUGGAGAAAUUAAAAUCUAUGUAUACUAUUGGUAGAAAUGUAAAAAGGUACAGCUACUAUGAAAAACAUUACAGAGGUUUCUUAAAGAAUUAAAAAUCGAAUCACUAUGUGACCCAGCAAUCUCACUUCUGGAUAUAUAUUUUAAAAGUUGAAAUCAGCAUCUCAAAAGAUAUUUGCACAGUCAUGUUCAUUGCAGCAUUAUUCAUAAUAGCCAAGAUAUAGAAACAAUCUAUGUGCUUGUUGACAGAAGAAGGGAUUACAAAAAGCCAACUAUGGUAUAUAAAUAUAAGGGAGUAUUAUUUAACCUAAAAAGGAAGACAUUCUGCCCUAUGUGACAACAAGGAUGAACAGGAGGACAUAAUGCUAAGUGAAAUUAGCCAGUCACUGAAGAAUAAUACUGCAUCAUUUCACUUAUAUGAGUUAUCUUAAAAAAAAAAACAAAAAAAAAUUGUUUACAUUUACGUAUAUUUGAUAAUGAUAAAAUUGAAUUUUUUAAUAUAGAAUGACCACUAUUAUUGUCCCUUAAUAUAGUUAAUGGCAAAUAUGUUAAAAUGUUUUACUUCUUUCUGGGAGGUAUCAAUUAUCAAAUGUGUUAGAAUAUUUACUAUUUUUUUUUUACUUUUGUUGUUGUUUUAAGUGUUUGCAUUUGUGUGGGUAUACGAUUUGACAUUUAGAAGUCAAUAUCCAAGUAAAUAUCCAAGUAGUCAAAAGCAAUUGACAUACUACUUUCUGAUUUUGAUCUAUGGUCUUGUACUUAGAAAAACUUUCUCCAUCACUAAGUAUAUUAAAAAAAUCCUAGCAUUCCUGGAAAAGUAAUGAGCACAUAGAAACGCUUAAAAGAGCUUCACUUUUCUCUUAACCAGUAAAUUCCAUCAAUAAACAUUUGCAAGAGAUUUUGAUGAGGGUUCAAUUUGCCUGUUUUCCUAAGAAAGGGGAAAUAAAUUAUUAUUCCACUUUUAAUUCUUUUCUUCACAACAAUGAAGUUCAUUUUUUUAACCUUUAAAUCUUUGAUUAAUUUCUAUUUGAAUUCAUACAUUUUUGAAGUAAUAAAGUGAGUGUUUUUUUCUUGAAAAUAUAUAUUUUUAUUUUUUGUUUGUUUAGGGGAAGGUUGGAUUAUGAAUACCCUUUAUAUUCAGAUUCACUAAUUAUUUUGGAAGGUCUAAUAAACUUAUCUUCUAUUUAUGUUUAAUGUAUGCUUUCUUAAUAUUUCACUUGGAUUCUCAAUAAAUAUUUAGGCAAGGGAUAUCAAAACAAUGCCAAAUGACUAUAUUUCAACUCAAAGAGCUGUUAAGAAGACAUAUAUCCCCACGUUUCCCCAUUUUACACAGAGUGGGGGUCCAGUAGGUUACUUAGAAUCAUGUUUGUAAGAAACUUCAAAAAAGAACGGUCCAUGGGUUCUCUGAUUCAUUGUUGCAUUUAAAAUAUUGUUUAUUGUUCAUAAUAUAAUACCUUUCCAAAUUUAUUUACUCAAUAUCACAUAUCUAGUUCUUGAAACAGUUUCUAAGGUAUAAAAGGCAUUCUAGAAAUAUUUUUAGAAAAAC
rnacentral:lncRNA from 1 species